AGCGAACGCUGGCGGCAGGCCUAACACAUGCAAGUCGAACGAAGUCUUCGGACUUAGUGGCGGACGGGUGAGUAACACGUGGGAACGUGCCUUUAGGUUCGGAAUAACUCAGGGAAACUUGUGCUAAUACCGAAUGUGCCCUUCGGGGAAAAGAUUUAUCGCCUUUAGAGCGGCCCGCGUCUGAUUAGCUAGUUGGUGAGGUAAAGGCUCACCAAGGCGACGAUCAGUAGCUGGUCUGAGAGGAUGAUCAGCCACAUUGGGACUGAGACACGGCCCAAACUCCUACGGGAGGCAGCAGUGGGGAAUCUUGCGCAAUGGGCGAAAGCCUGACGCAGCCAUGCCGCGUGAAUGAUGAAGGUCUUGGGAUUGUAAAAUUCUUUCACCGGGGACGAUAAUGACGGUACCCGGAGAAGAAGCCCCGGCUAACUUCGUGCCAGCAGCCGCGGUAA
rnacentral:rRNA from 1 species